GCCGGUGUAGCUCAGCUACAGGUAGAGCGAUCGGCUGUUAACCGAUUGGUCGAAGGUUCGAGUCCUUCCACCGGCGCCA
rnacentral:tRNA from 1 species